rnacentral:rRNA from 1 species
UACGUAGGUGGCAAGCGUUGUCCGGAAUUAUUGGGCGUAAAGCGCGCGCAGGCGGCCUUUUAAGUCUGAUGUGAAAGCCCCCGGCUCAACCGGGGAGGGUCAUUGGAAACUGGAAGGCUUGAGUGCAGAAGAGAAGAGCGGAAUUCCACGUGUAGCGGUGAAAUGCGUAGAGAUGUGGAGGAACACCAGUAGCGAAGGCGGCUCUUUGGUCUGUAACUGACGCUGAGGCGCGAAAGCGUGGGGAGCAAACAGG